rnacentral:sRNA from 2 species
ACUGAUGGCAGCGCAGUUCUACAUCAAUUAGUAUGUACUCCGUACUGUCCAUUACUUCGGGGCAAACCCCUACCCACACCAUCGGGCUUCCCCGGCCAUGGAUUAUGGCACUUCUCCGUAUUUGAGUGUAUUCUUGAACGGGGCUGAGGGGGGGAGGGGAAGGGCGGUUGAUUGAUUGGUUUAUGUUUUUGUUUCGGCUACCGAACGUGUGUAUAUGCAUAUAUAAGACUUCAAAACUCGAGAACAGGAAGGAAAAAUCUGCUCGGAUUACAAAUUACAGAUCCAUGUAGCGGACAAAACUCGGGAGACUUUCCAAGAGGUACGCAGGGUUCUCGUAGUCAGGAUUCUGCUUUGAGCUACAGCAACUACAGACUGAAUGGCAUGUGCCGAGUGCUGUCCAGGAAUUGGAUGAGAAGACCGGUCUUCCCGAUGAGCAUUCUGGAAGGAAAGAUGGGCUAUUCCAAGAAAAGCUACGCGGCAUCAGCAAAAAGAAGCUUUCUUAGAGAAGAAAAAGACAGCAAUGCGUCGUGAACAAGUUGGAAGAAAUUCACUAACAAAAAUAAAUCCAGGCUAACCUUCCUGGUGAACGACAUUCUGAGUGUACUGCGGUAGUCCAUGAAUACUCGUACAUAUAUGUAUGUAACCCUGCUUCUAGCUAAAAGAGGAGGAAGAAGCGAGUGUUGGUUCAUGCUCAAUACAAAUACGGAAAACACGGAAGAUGCUGGACGCAGGCCAUACUACAGCAUUUUACCGCUAGUCAAGGGAUACGACGAUAAUUGAUCAUCCCGCGAGACCUAACCGACCGCCUCCACUCCCAAGUAUGGCGAUGGGAGGGAGAAAGUUCAUCUUUUGGGCGUUCUGAGUAGACG